rnacentral:lncRNA from 1 species
UCUGAGUCCAUGCAGGGGUUCGGGAUUCUGGGGCUUUUCCUUCAUGGUGGGUGAAAUCAGGAGGAAGGUGCCAGGUUGGACUUGGGCACACAGGAGUGUGGGUGGCCUUUAUUUUGAAAGAGGAUAAGAAUUAGGGACAAGGAGGUUGGUUCCAGACCUUAUUUUCAUGUGUGAGGGCCAGGAGGCACUCCCCUGUCCUUUUCUGUUUUCUCUGCCGUGGUUCGUGGGGCGAUGUGAUAUAUGGGUCACCACCACGGCUUGGCUGCCUCCUUCCACCACAUCCCCUCCCAUCCGGGCCUCUGUGGACUUGCCAGACUAGGUCAGAUCCUUGGUUCCUUGCUCUUGCAAUACCCUGUCCUCUCCUAGUUCACACUGCAGAUGUAAUUGAUGACUUGGUUUGUCUGUCCCGAUUCGUCUCUAAAAUCCCUGAGGUCCCCUCUCUGCUGAUUCAGUAUUGCAUUCCCAGCCCCAAACACAGUGUCCGGCUUAUAGUGGGAGCUCAAUAUAGAGAAGGAAACGGGAUUCUCAGGAGGCGUCCAUAACAAGAUGUUAUCAUGUCCCCCACCCACAGGCACACGUGGCUCCCCAUUGCCCCCAGCCUGACAUUCCCAGUGCUCCCCCAGCUGCCUGCCAGUCUGAUCUGUCUGUCUAAAGCCCUGCAGUCAACAGCCACAUUGUUCCCCAAAUCCACUUUGCUUAAGCCGCCCCUUAGCUGGAGCUGUCCUUUCCUCUCCCCACCCCCCAUCCUGGCUGCCCGCAAACUGCCACCAGCCCUGGCUCAAAGUACCCCUCUGCUUAGACACUUUCCUGGUUUCCUCUAAGGAUCUAAAGUGGCUUCUUUAUGUGGAGUUAGCCUCCCCGAUAAGGAUGGGGGUCUCAGGCCUGCACACCCCCAGCAUGCCUGGUGCACCUUCCACAGCCCUCUGUGAAGUCAAAGUUGAAGAAAGAAAGGGUCCCCCCUGCCCCCCUCCCUGGACUAUUGGCAGGCUCGCUGACUCACGGAGACCGAGAUGGCAGAAGUCUGCAGAAGGAGGAGAUGUAGUGAUGUGAGAAAAGGUGGGAUGGUGGCAGAGGCAACCUAAGGUGACCCCAGUGAGUGAUGCUCUCGCAGAUUCCCCUCCCCCGGGCGCAGGCAGGAUCGGCAACCUGCUUUCAGCCAAUAGAACACGGCAAAGGUGAAGGGGCUUUGCAGAUGUAAUUAAGGUCCCAAACUGGUUGAUUUUGAUUUAUCAAAAGGGAGAUUACCUUGGGUGGGCCUGAUGUAAUCAAGUGAAAGCUCUUAAAAGAGGGACUGAGGCCCUCCCUGAGGUCAGAGAGAGCCUCCUGCUGGCCUUGAAGAUGUGUCCUGCCCUGCACUGAGGGGGCCUGGGUGAGGGCCAGUGGCAGGGACUGUGGGCGGCCUCUGGAGCUGAGAGCAGCCACUGGCUGCCGGUUGGAAAACCGGAACCUCAGCCCUAGGGCCGCAAGAACUGAAGGCUGCCAACAACCGUGUGACCUUGGAAGAGGCCCAUGAGGAAAGGUAGCCCAGCCGACACCUGGACUGUGAGACCCUGGGUAGAGGACCUGCACCCAGGCUCCUGGCCCGCGAAACCUCUGAGGUGGUAAAUGUGUGUUGUUUUAAGCUGCUGAAUGUGUGGUAACAGAGACAGCAACAGGUACAGGUGGGUUUAGAACAACCAGCCUCAGAGGUGAUGGAGGGAAGGGUCAUGGUGUGUGAGAGCCCUGGAGAACAGGAAGGUGACUUCAGGCCUUCGCACUCCCACCUGCCCCCGGGUUUACCCAGCCCCACCUCCACCCAGCUCACCACCUCUUCUCGCCUGGAAUAUUGUGAGGGGCACAAGGUUUGGGGGUCUCAGUCUCUGGUUCUCCUUGAAUUCUGACCAAAGUUGGGAUAAUGCUAAUCCUAUCCCAAACACAUGCCCAACCCUAACUCCAACUGUAAGGCCCCAAAUUACCAUAGAGGCAGGUGAAACACGGAUUCCCACUGUCGCCACCCCCUUCCAGAGCCCUGGCGUCAGCCUGUGGCCAGACAGCCCCGAGCAGACAGCUGCCGCCCCCUCGGCUCUUCUCCUGUUGUUGUGACCAGGCAGGCCGCGGGGAAGAGUUCACAGCCUCCAUGGCAGCAGCAGCUGGGGCUCCAGAUGCCCCCUCCUGGGUGUGGAUAAUUUGGAAUCAGUUAAAAGGGAGUCUUGAUGCGUGGAUUUGGGUCCCCAAACUGCCACCUCCUUUGGCUCUUUCCUGACCCUGAAGAGAACCUGACCCGGAUGUACCAAGACCUUGCCGGAAGCCUCUAGCCAGAGCAGCUGGCCCUGGACUCCCACUGGGACACUGACUGGGAGAUUCUUAGAGCACUGAACGAUUGGCCCUCCACCUUCCCAGCGGCUCUUUGGGAAAAGAUGCCCAUUGCAUGAAGCGGGGCCUCUCAAGGAGGAGCCCCAGGUCACCUGUUGCAACAGAAUCGCCUGGGAGCUCCAAGGCCCAGCCCCAACCCAUACCCAAUGAGUCUGAAUCUCCAGGAGGUGCCCAGACAUCUGCACAUCCAGCAGGUUCCCAGCUUCACAUUGUAAGGCUCCACCUCUUUCCACCCCCAGGAUCUUCAGGGGCACAGUAAAGUGUCCACCAUGAGCUGCCUUCACCCCAGCCCUUGGGACCAUGUGGGGACCGGGUGGGAACUCUGGGCUCCUGUGACACUCAGACCAAGCCCCUCACAUUGCAGGGGCCCUGCUCAGCAUCCUGGAGGGGAGCAACCCUUCUGGGACCAGGAAAACCCAAUUUUGUCCUCCAUUUCUGUUCCUCCUGGGGGCUGUGAACCUCAGGCAGGGUCCCUCGGUCUGGGUCCCGUAUGAACUCCUCUUCACCUUUCUGGCCAGGUUAUCAGAAUGGGCAGGGUUGUAAGUGGUUCAGAGUUUGAGCUCUGGGGUCAGGCGGAGCCGAGUUCAGCCUUGGCACAUUCCCCUGCACCAGCCCGUGCCCUGGGGUGAACCCCUGGGCUCCCUUGGCCUCUUCUCAGCUCCUCACUGUGUCCCACCCCUCUGCCAUCUCCUCUUCUCCCCUCCAGCUAUGGGACGAUCUGUCCCGAGUUCACUUUCUUCUUUUCUAUUUCCUACUCCCAUGUCCCCAAACACAUCCCGCCCUACAGUUCCCCACCUCCAGGCCCUGCACGGGCCCUUUGCUCUGUUUGGCAUGCUCCUGCCCUCCUGCAUCCUGGCAGUCUAAACUUUAAGUGAGACCUGCAUGGAGCAGGGAGACUGGCCAGAAGUCUUAAUUAACUUCAAAAUUUAAAGCUGGAAGAGAGGGAUAUGAUUUGGCUCUGUGUCCCCACCCAAAUCUGAUGUCGAAUUGUAAUUCCCAAUGUUGGGGGAGGGACCUGGUGGGAGGUGAUUGGAUCGUGGGGGCAGAUUCCCCCCCUUCGUGUUCUUGUGAUAGUGAGUGAGUUCUCAUGAGAUCUGUUUGCUUAAAAGUGUGUAGCAUCUCCCCCUUUGCUCUCUCUCUCCUGCUGCUAUGUGAAGAUGUGGUUGCUUCCCCUUCACCUACCACCAUGGUUAUGUUUCCUGAGGCCUCCCAGCCAUGCUUCCUGCAUAGCCUGUGGAACUGUGAGUCAAUUAAAUCUGUUUUCUUCAUAAAUUACCCAGCCUCAGGUAGUUCUUUAUGGUAGUGUGAGAACAGACUAACACAGAGAGUUUUAAAUUCUUUAGUUGUAGGCCUUUGCCCAGGAUGGAGUAGCAGGGACUGUAUUUCCUUCCCCUUCAAAACUUUCAGACAGCUGGAGAGGAUAUAUGGAACAUCAGUUUCAAGGUACUGGACAUCAGGCAAUGAAGGAAAGAAAUU